CCCCACUGCUAUCGGGGUAGGACUAAGGCAUGCUAGUUGCGUCUUCAAGUUAUGGUGGAGAUGAAGCGUACAGCUCAGUAACACGUAGUUAACCUGCCCUUGGGACGGAGAUAACCCCGGGAAACUGGGGAUAAUACUCGAUGAGUGAGAGUGCCUGGAAUGGCUUCUCGCCGAAAUGGUGACAGAACCAUACUUUUUGUUAUCGCCCAAGGAUGGAACUGCGGCCGAUCAGGUUGUUGGUGAGGUAACGGCUCACCAAGCCUAUAACCGGUACGGGCCGUGAGAGCGGUAGCCCGGAGAUGGGCACUGAGAUAAGGGCCCAGGCCCUACGGGGCGCAGCAGCUACGAAAACUCUGCUAUGCGCGAAAGCGCGACAGGGCUACCCCGAGUGCCGUCCGCUGAGGAUGGCUUUUAUUCGGCGUAAGUCGAAGGAAUAAGGGGAGGGCAAGCCUGGUGUCAGCCGCCGCGGUAAUACCAGCUCCUCAAGUGGUGGGGAUGAUUAUUGGGCCUAAAGCGCCCGUAGCCGGUUCGGUAAGUCUUCUGUUAAAUCCAACGACUCAAUCGUUGGACUGCGGGAGAUACUGCUGGACUAGGAGGCGGAAGAAGCCGACGGUACUCUUAGGGUAGGGGUGAAAUCCUAUAAUCCUAAGAGGACCACCAGUGGCGAAGGCGGUCGGCUAGAACGCGCUCGACGGUGAGGGACGAAAGCCUGGGGAGCGAUCCGGAUUAGAUACCCGGGUAGUCCAGGCCGUAAACGAUGCAGGCUAGGUGUUGGCAUGACUACGAGUUAUGCCAGUGCCGCAGGGAAGCCGUUAAGCCUGCCGCCUGGGAAGUACGGUCGCAAGAUUGAAACUUAAAGGAAUUGGCGGGGGAGCACCACAAGGGGUGAAGCUUGCGGUUCAAUUGGAGUCAACGCCGGGAACCUUACCGGAGAAGACAGCAGAAUGAAGGCCAGAUUGAAGGUCUUGCCAGACAAGCUGAGAGGAGGCGCAUGGCCGUCGCCAGUUCGUGCCGUGAGGUGUCCUGUUAAGUCAGGCAACGAUCGAGACCCAUACUUCUUGUUGCCAUCGGCACUCCGAAAGGAGGCCAGGCACACUAGAAGGACUGCCGCCGAUAAGGUGGAGGAGGGAAUGGGCCGCGGCAGGUCAGUAUGCCCCGAAUUCUCCGGGCUACACGCGAGCUGCAAUGGUAGGGACAAUGAGUUCCGACCUCGAAAGGGGAAGGUAAUCCCUAAACCCUGCCUCAGUUGGGAUCGAGGGCUGAAACCCGCCCUCGUGAAUCAUGGAAUCCCUAGUAAUCGCGCGUCAUCAUCGCGCGGUGAAUACGUCCCCGCUCCUUGCACACACCGCCCGUCGCUCCAUCCGAGUGAGGUCUAGGUGAGGUGUGGUCCUUAAGGGCUGCUUCGAAUCUGGGUUUCGUAAGGAGGGAG
rnacentral:rRNA from 1 species